rnacentral:rRNA from 1 species
UAGGGAAUCUUCGGCAAUGGACGAAAGUCUGACCGAGCAACGCCGCGUGAGUGAAGAAGGUUUUCGGAUCGUAAAACUCUGUUGUUAGAGAAGAACAAGGACGUUAGUAACUGAACGUCCCCUGACGGUAUCUAACCAGAAAGCCACGGCUAACUACGUGCCAGCAGCCGCGGUAAUACGUAGGUGGCAAGCGUUGUCCGAAUUUAUUGGGCGUAAAGCGAGCGCAGGCGGUUUCUUAAGUCUGAUGUGAAAGCCCCCGGCUCAACCGGGGAGGGUCAUUGGAAACUUGGAGACUUGAGUGCAGAAGAGGAGAGUGGAAUUCCAUGUGUAGCGGUGAAAUGCGUAGAUAUAUGGAGGAACACCAGUGGCGAAGGCGGCUCUCUGGUCUGUAACUGACGCUGAGGCUCGAAAGCGUGGGGAGCAAACAGG